CAAUAAACUCCGCUCUCUCCCUUCGCCAGUUCGCUGACAGGACACCAGAUCUGAAGGCCUCGACUGAACAGGAAAAGCCAAGAAAAGAAGCUUCCUGGAGAUGAAAACCGAAAAAUGAAACUCGCAUCCAAAAAACUGGAAUAAAAUAAAUUCGCAUCCGUUCUUCGUUCACUUCUCUACGAACGCUUUCUAGCAUUGCAUCGACUAGCGAUGCCAACUACUUCCACUCUUCAAAACAGCGUGUAGAGAGCGAGAACGAGAGAUUGCACGAUGGGGCUGGAGAUUGUGGAGCCAAACACAUGCAUAAGAGGUUGCUGCAGCAGCAAUUCCAUUCCUCUUCACCUUCCUGCGUCUUCUUACGCUCUCCUCUCUCCAAUUGCCAGAGGGGCGGAGAGUGUAGUAUAUGAAGGAAUUUUGGAUGGAAGGAAAGUUGCUGUGAAGAAACUCUUCUUGUCUACUUCUGAGGACAUUGAUAAGUUCCAUAAGGAGCUGCAACUCAUAUGCAUAACUUCCUAUUCAACAACAGUGUCGCUGGAUCAUCUGGGAAUAGCCAAGCUGGUUGCAGCUCAUGCAAAGCCUCCCAGUUACCUAUUCUUUUUCAAAUUCUAUGAAUCUGGCAAUCUUGUGGGGAAAUUACAUGCAGAAGAAUGGAGUCCGAGUAUUGAUCAGGUGCUCAUGAUCACUGUUCAGCUGGCGAAGGCUUUGCAGUAUCUGCAUGACCAUGGGAUUGUACAUGGGGAUGUGAAACCAGCAAAUGUUCUUCUCAACAGAAACCUUUGUCCACACCUAUCAGACUUUGGUCUGGCAGAAUACAGGGGGAAUCUUACAGGAGUUUCUGUUGAGAGUUGGAGAUCAUCAGGAAAGCCAACUGGUGGUUUCCACAAAAAGAACAUGGUUGGUAUACUCAUUUAUAUGGCACCUGAAAUAUUGAGAAAGGAGGUGCAUGCUGAAAAAUCUGAUGUCUACAGUUUUGGGAUAUCAAUCAAUGAGCUUCGUACUCGUGUUGUCCCAUAUACUGAUCUUUGUACUGAAGCUGAAGCUCAUACUGUAUUGGAGAUGAACUAUACUGAGCAGCAACUUACUGCAGCAGUGGUGUCUAGUAAAUUGUGAGCUGUUCUUGGUGGUCCUGAGUCGGGCGUCCACAAGUAUGCUAGCAUUGAUACAGAGAUGUUGGGAUGAAAAUCCUCAAAAUAGGCCUUCUUUUAGUGAUAUCAUUUUCGAAAUUUGUCCAAUUUUGGGGCACAGAAAAAAAUCAAUGGAAGAAAAUUUCGCCCCUGGAGCAUCUUCUGUUUUAGAGAUUGAGCAUUUCAUUGAUGGUGCCAACAACCUUCGAACAUUUCAUGAGAGUGUUAACUGGUCCACUCAGGGAAAACAAUUAUCAAAGAAAGCUUCCUUAGCUGUUAAUUCACGUACGAAUAAUUGGCUUGAUUCUUUGAAUGAACCCUUGGCUUAUCAUCUGGUACUUUCUUGGGGAUCCUUUGCUACAUGUGGGAGAAGGGAAAUCAUGGAGGAUGCACACUUCCUUAUGCCCCACAUGUGCAAUGAAAAGGUUAUCCAUGUUUUUGGCAUCUUUGAUGGUCAUAGAGGUGCAGCGGCUGCUGAGUUUUCAGUUCAGGCUUUGCCAGGAUUUCCGCAGAGUUUAGCUUCUAUAAGAGGUCCCAUCGAUGCAUUAUUUGAAGCAUUUGUUAGUACCGAUGCUGCAUUUCGAAAUGAAAUCAAUUCUCAUCGUAAAUCUAGGGGAGUUGUUCAGAAAGACUGGCAUCCUGGCUGCACUGCUGUUGCAGCUUUAAUAGUUAGAAACAAGCUUUUUGUUGCUAAUGUUGGUGAUUGCAGGACAAUUUUGUGUUGUGCCGGCCACGCCUAUCCUUUAAGUAUGGAUCACGUUGCAAGUUGUCUUCAGGAAAGGGAGCACGCUAUUAGUGCAGGGGGACAGGUUAAAUGGCAAGUUGAUACUGGGAGGGUUGGUCCUGCUGCACUCUAGGUCACUCGCUCCAUUGGUGGUGACAAUUUGAAGCCUGCUGUAACUGCAGAACCUGAGAUAACUGAAACUACUCUGUCAGCAGCAGAGGAUGAAUUUUUGGUGAUGGCUAGUGAUGGACUUUGGGAUGUCGUGAGCAAUGCAGAGGUCAUAAGCAUAAUCAGGGACACAGUGAAAGAACCUGGAAUGUGCUCCAAGCGAUUGGCAACAAAAGCUGCAGAGAGAGUUAGCAAAGAUAAUAUUACAGUGGUUUGUCAUCUUCUUGCACCCGGUAUCUACUGCAGAGAGAAUUUACUAGGUCAAAUGCAAAUGCAAGUUGUAAGAGUUGUAAAUUGGUGGAGAAAAGGGAGUCCAACUGGAUGAGACUCAUUCUUGUUUCAUUCAUGUAAUUUUUACUUACUCUUAUGAUCAUUAGUUUUAGGCAUUCAUGCUGUGAGUAUUGUCGUAUUAUUACAUCUCAGAGAUUCCAUGGUUGAAACUUAUUAAGUGUACCUCAUGAAUAUGAGUCUUUCAAUUGUGUAAUUGUAAUUUCAUUUCUUAUGCCAGUCUUCUAGACCACUGAACAUGGAAAUGGGCCACUAUCCCUAAUUUGGCAUAAUCUUUCCACCUUUAUCCUAGUUCCUGCUAGGUGUUAUUGUUUGUAGAAUUGGGCUUGUAUCAUUUUCUUUGAAAUUGAAAAUGAAAUGCAGUUCUUAUAAA